rnacentral:rRNA from 1 species
GAUCCUGGCUCAGGAUGAACGCUAGCUACAGGCUUAACACAUGCAAGUCGAGGGGAAACGAUAGAGAAAGCUUGCUUUUUCUAGGCGUCGACCGGCGCACGGGUGAGUAACGCGUAUCCAACCUGCCCAUCACUUGGGGAUAACCUUGCGAAAGUAAGACUAAUACCCAAUGACGUCUCUAGAAGACAUCUGAAGGAGAUUAAAGAUUUAUCGGUGGUGGAUGGGGAUGCGUCUGAUUAGCUUGUUGGCGGGGUAACGGCCCACCAAGGCGACGAUCAGUAGGGGUUCUGAGAGGAAGGCCCCCCACAUUGGAACUGAGACACGGUCCAAACUCCUACGGGAGGCAGCAGUGAGGAAUAUUGGUCAAUGGACGAGAGUCUGAACCAGCCAAGUAGCGUGCAGGAUGACGGCCCUAUGGGUUGUAAACUGCUUUUAUAAGGGAAUAAAGUGAGUCUCGUGAGACUUUUUGCAUGUACCUUAUGAAUAAGGACCGGCUAAUUCCGUG